rnacentral:lncRNA from 1 species
CCUGCCCGGAUUUGUCGGGCGUCGGUUCCCAAGUAACAUCAUCUCUUUUCAUCUGUGCCUAGCUACACCCCCAUCGGGCUCUAGAAUUCCUGUGCGCGCAUCUAGAUCUGCCCAUGGGCAUUCGGUUGUUGUGGACGUAUUUUUUGGAGUGGGUGGGUGGGGGGAGCAGCUCUCAACUCGAGGCGGACGGGGCAGUAGGUUGCUCAUUGAAUCAGAUAGUGGUCUUCGUUGGGGUUCGAUGGCUAGAAUAAGGGGUGGAUCUCCAUUGNAUCUCCAUUUGCGCGACGGUGGGGUGGAUUGGAAGGAUGGGCGCGGGGAGGAGGGUGGAUCUCCAUUGCACGACGAUGGGGGUGGACUGGACGGGUGAGGCGAGAAGAAGGAGGUGGAUCUCCAUUUGCGUGACAAUGGGGUGGAUUGGAAGGAUGGGCGCGGGGAGGAGGGUGGAUCUCCAUUGCACGACGAUGGGGUGGACUGGACGGGUGAGGCGAGAAGAAGGAGGUGGAUCUCCAUUUGCGCGACGAUGGGGUGGACUGGACGGGUGAGGCGAGAAGAAGGAGGUGGAUCUCCAUUUGCGCGAGGUGGGGGUGGAUUGGAAGGAUGGGCGCGGGAAGGAGGGUGGAUCUCCAUUGCGCGACGAUGGGGGUGGACUGGACGGGUGAGGCGAGAAGAAGGAGGUGGAUCUCCAUUUGCACGACGGUAGGGUGGAUUGGAAGGAUGGGUGCGGAGAGGAGGAUGGAUCUCCAUUGCGCGACGGUGGGGUGGACUGGACGGGUGAGGCGAGAAGAAGGAGGUGGAUCUCCAUUUGCGCGGCGGUGGGGUGGAUUGGAAGGAUGGGCGCGGGGAGGAGGGUGGAUCUCUAUUGCGCGACGAUGGGGGUGGACUGGACGGGUGAGGCGAGAAGAAGGAGGUGGAUCUCCAUUUGCACGACGGCGGGGUGGAUUGGAAGGAUGGGUGUAGAGAGGAGGAUGGAUCUCCAUUGCGCGACGGUGGGGUGGACUGGACGGGUGAGGCGAGAAGAAGGAGGUGGAUCUCCAUUGCGCGAUGGUGUGGUGGAUUGGAAGGAUGGGCGCGGGGAGGAGGGUGCAUCUCCAUUGCGCGACGGUGGGGUGGACUGGAUGGUUGAGGUGAGAAGAAGGAGGUGGAUCUCCAUUGCGCGACGGUGGGGUGGACUGGACGGGUAAGGCGAGAAGAAGGAGGUGAAUCUCCAUUUGCGCGAUGGUGUGGUGGAUUGGAAGGAUGGGCGCGGGGAGGAGGGUGCAUCUCCAUUGCGCGACGAUGGGGUGGACUGGAUGGUUGUGGCGAGAAGAAGGAGGUGGAUCUCCAUUGUGCGACGGUGGGGUGGACUGGACGGGUAAGGCGAGAAGAAGGAGGUGGAUCUGCAUUGCGCGGUGGUGGAGUGGAAGUAUGGACGCGAGGAGAAGGGUGGAUCUCCAUUGCGCAAUGGUAGGUGGAAUGGAUGGGUGGGGUGAAAAGGAGUGGAACUGCAUUGCGUGACGGUGGAGUGGACUAGAAGUAUGGACUCGAGGAGGAGGGGAUGGAUCUCCAUUGCGCGACGGUGGGGUGGACUGGAUGGGUGAGGCGAAGAAGGAGGUGGAUCUCCAUUGCGCAACGGUGGGUGGAAUGGAUGGGUGGGGUGAAAAGGAGUGGAUCUGCAUUGCGCGACGAUGGAGUGGACCGGAAGUAUGGACGCGAGGAGGAGGGGGUGGAUCUCCACUGUGCGGCUGUGGGGUGGACUGGAUGGGUGGGGUGAGAAGAAGGGUGGAC